CAAUGACAAUUCAGUCAGAGCUGGACGCUGUACAAAUGUCCAGCUGGAUGGAUAAACCCUGAAAGAACAGUCUGCCAGAAAAACAACAGUCAGAGCAGGAAUAAAAAUAUCUCCAUGGAAGUUCUGCAUGUGUCCUUUGGUGCCUUCUAAGUUGCAUCCUUGCUGUAUGCCAUGACUUUGAAGAUGACUCCAAAACCAAACAGAUGCCAGGAGUGAGUUGACAAAGAAGACUUUCUGCAUACCCUACUGCUCUGCCUGGAAGCUAAAGAAAAUAUAAUCCUUUUGUACGCCACAUGAAGCAGGUGGAAGUCUUUUGCAAUGAGAAG